GGGUAUUGGUGAGACUGCCUGGGUGUGCGUGCGUGUGUUGUUUGGUGUAAAUUCAGUUAUUUUCAGUUCCUGCUCCCCCGAGCCUCUCUUUUCUUGGCAGAAGCCUUUAGGAACUCCUUGGACAAUGGAUGCUGGCCCUUAUCUGCAAAGAGCUGUCAGUCACAAGGUACCACAGGGUCGACAGUAUCUUACAAGGGCCCUUCUACCAUCUCAGGGCAAUCAGGUCAAGGAAGCUCCAGAGAAAAAUUUAAAAACAAGAAACAGACUGGGACACACUGAUGGCCCUUCCUCUGACACAUGUUCAGAAACUGCUUGAGUUGCCCGUGCUUCAAAUGGUAGUAACGGCACAAAUAAUUGGUACAGGCAGGACAGUGGCUUUUACUGUUUCAUAACAGAGCCACCCCGACAUAUUCAGGGUGUACAUAUUGCCUUGUAUUAUUGUGGAGAUAUGAGGUGUCCCCCCAGACUCUUGUGUGAGACACUGCAAGAACAUUCAGAGGUAAAAUGAUUGGGUUAUGGGAGCUGUGACCGAAUCAGUGGAUUGAUCCGCUUGAAGGGAUUAAUGGGGGUCAGAACUGUAGACAGGUGGGGUGUUAUGGUUUGGAUGUGAGGUGUCCCCCAAAAGCUCACAUGUGAGACCAUGCAGGAAGGUUCA
rnacentral:lncRNA from 1 species